rnacentral:rRNA from 1 species
UCCGUUGGUGAACCAGCGGAGGGAUCAUUACCGAGUUAUACAACUCAUCAACCCUGUGAACAUACCUAAAACGUUGCUUCGGCGGGAACAGACGGCCCCGUAACACGGGCCGCCCCCGCCAGAGGACCCCCUAACUCUGUUUCUAUUAUGUUUCUUCUGAGUAAAACAAGCAAAUAAAUUAAAACUUUCAACAACGGAUCUCUUGGCUCUGGCAUCGAUGAAGAACGCAGCGAAAUGCGAUAAGUAAUGUGAAUUGCAGAAUUCAGUGAAUCAUCGAAUCUUUGAACGCACAUUGCGCCCGCCAGUAUUCUGGCGGGCAUGCCUGUUCGAGCGUCAUUACAACCCUCAGGCCCCCGGGCCUGGCGUUGGGGAUCGGCGAGGCGCCCCCUGCGGGCACACGCCGUCCCCCAAAUACAGUGGCGGUCCCGCCGCAGCUUCCAUUGCGUAGUAGCUAACACCUCGCAACUGGAGAGCGGCGCGGCCACGCCGUAAAACACCCAACUUCUGAAUGUUGACCUCGAAUCAGGUAGGAAUACCCGCUGAACUUAAGCAUAUCA